rnacentral:rRNA from 1 species
GACGAACGCUGGCGGCGUGCUUAACACAUGCAAGUCGAACGGAAAGGCCCUGCUUUUGUGGGGUGCUCGAGUGGCGAACGGGUGAGUAACACGUGAGUAACCUGCCCUUGACUUUGGGAUAACCUCAGGAAACUGGGGCUAAUACCGGAUAGGAGCUCCUGCUGCAUGGUGGGGGUUGGAAAGUUUCGGCGGUUGGGGAUGGACUCGCGGCUUAUCAGCUUGUUGGUGGGGUAGUGGCUUACCAAGGCUUUGACGGGUAGCCGGCCUGAGCGGGUGACCGGCCACAUUGGGACUGGAAUACGGCCCAGACUCCUACGGGAGGCAGCAGUGGAGAAUAUUGCACAAUGGGCGGAAGCCUGAUGCAGCAACGCCGCGUGCGGGAUGACGGCCUUCGGGUUGUAAACCACUGUCGCCUGUGACGAAGCGUGAGUGACGGUAAUGGGUAAAGAAGCACCGGCUAACUACGUG